rnacentral:rRNA from 1 species
UACAGAGGGUGCAAGCGUUGUUCGGAAUUAUUGGGCGUAAAGGGCGCGUAGGCGGUGCGGUAAGUCUCUUGUGAAAUCUCCGGGCUCAACUCGGAGCCUGCAAGGGAAACUGCCGUGCUUGAGUAUGGGAGAGGUGAGUGGAAUUCCCGGUGUAGCGGUGAAAUGCGUAGAUAUCGGAAGGAACACCAGUGGCGAAAGCGGCUUCCUGGUCCAGCACCGACGUUCAGGCACGAAAGCGUGGGGAGCAAACAGG